CAAUAGCGUAUAUUAAAGUUGUUGCGGUUAAAAGUUCGUAGUUGGAUUUCUGCCGAGGACGUCCGGUCCGCCCUCUGGGUGAGUACAUGGCACGGCCUGGGCAUCUUCUUGGGGAACGUAUCUGCACUUGACUGUGUGGUGCGGUAUCCAGGAUUUUUACUUUGAGGAAAUUAGAGUGUUUCAAGCAGGCACACGCCUUGAAUACAUUAUCAUGGAAUAAUAAGAUAGGACCUCGGUUCUAUUUUGUUGGUUUCUAGACAUGAGGUAAUGAUUAAUAGGGAUAGUUGGGGGCAUUCGCAUUUAACUGUCAGGGGUGAAAUUCUUGGAUUUGUUAGGGACGGACUACUGCGAAAGCAUUUGCCAAGGAUGUUUUCAUUGAUCAAGAACGAAAGUUAGGGGAUCGAAGAUGAUUAGAUACCGU
rnacentral:rRNA from 1 species